CUCAGCUCAGCCUCUGCUGUAAUUGGACAGCUUUCAACGAGUGGCUCUGUGGUAGCCGCCCAUUCUCCGCCCCUGUCACCCGGCCACACGCGCACACAUUCCGGGCCGUGAUUGGUGUGGGUCUGAUUGGUGCAUUUUGGGAUCAAUCAACCACACCUCUUCGCUAUCUCGUCGUGUCAUUGGUAAAAGGGACAGAGGGCGGCAACUCCACGCGCCCUUUGAUUUUAUUGGUUGGUCUGUGGGGCUCAGACCCCAGUCGGGGGACAACUAUUUUAGUCCAAUCUCCGGUUUGAGAACGUGGGACGUACUGGCCACUGCCCGAAUCCCGGGAGAACCUUCUGGAACCCGUGCAACGUCAAAGGCAGCCUUAAAGGAAAACUGCGCCCACCAGUUGGCGGUGACUCUGGGCAUUCUUUCCUGUCUUCAUUUAGGAGGGUUGCUAAAAGCAGUGGCAGCAGAAAAGCAACAGCAGAGAAAAUGCCCAGUCCCACCCCACUCCAGCGUGGGCUGUCGGAGCAGUCUCCUCUGUUUAUCCAGUGCAGUGGCACUGGCUUCAGUCAGCCCAGGAAGACACAGUCACCCCUGACUGCACAGGACUCUUCUGAGAUUUCCAAGGAGCAGGAGGGCUGAAGACUGAGUAAAAAUGUCUUCUUGGACUCAGCUCAAGAGAAUGAGGUGUGAGGGAGGUGCUGUUGUUGUUUAAUAUUUACUGGAAGUCCAAAAGCUCUAAUAAACAUGAGGCCAAAAUUAUGGCAUGAUCUUUAGCCUCUAGGGGCCUGGGAUGGGUCUUCAUGAGAAGCUACAGUGCAGGCUUCCCACAGAAGCAGAGCAACAGUUAAGGAAUAGCACACCAUCAGUGACUGGCUGGUGUGAUUGCACUUAGCAAGCAGAGCUUUUCAGCAAGAUGGAGAGACACUCCCUGUUCUCUGCUCUGGGGCCCUGAAGCACAGAUUCAGCCCCAUUUAAUGCACUCAUUACACCUUAAUUAUCAUGACUUAUUUGUUGAUUCUACAAAUAUUUGCUGAGUGCAGCCUACUAUGUGUUAGGCACAAAUUAGGCGCUUAGUAACUGUUGGUAGAUUGAACAAAUGGAACCUCACUCAGCCUGUGAGAAAGCAGUGUGAGUAUGUGCGUGUGUAGGGGGCAUAAGUGUAGGAUUAAAAAAAAAAAAGUGUUGCUUGAGCUAAAUUUUGAAAUCUGAGUGGGAGUUACCCCAGUGGAUAAGGGAAAAAAAGGCAUUCCAGGAAGAGAUAAAAGCACAUGCCAAGGCAUGGAGCUAUAUGGAGACUCCAUCAUGGCUUAGAUGGUAUGAAGCCAGCCGGGUGUUAGAUAGAAAUAGGCAAAGAAACCUGCCUUCACAUAAGAAUUAGCCCAGAGAACUGGUUUGAGAUAGUAUGCUUAAACUAUUUGUCUAGAAGGGAAUAUGUACUUAGAUUUCAGGGAGGAAAGAAAACACAGAGAAUUGGAUUUUCUAAGGCCAGGUAGCAGGACAGCCCUGAUAAGUCCUAGGGUUGACCAGUGAGUGCAUUGCUUGGCCUUUGGACCCAACAGGAAACUCCUCUUCAUAGCCUAAGGGCUGGUAGGUAGAGGCUGUAGUAAAUCAUUGGGGCUUUCCCUCUGGAGACCCGUAACCCUGAUUAGGAGGCUCAAAAAACAAAACAAAACGAAACAAAAUGAAACAAAAUGAAAAAAAGGAGAGAAAACCAGCCAGCCAACCAACACGCUGUUGUUUUAGUAAGAAGACCACAGUUAAGAUGAAACAUUUCUGAAAACCAAAUGAGAUCAUGUAAGAGGGCUUGUAAAUUGUCACAUAUUAUCCAAAUAUAAGGUACUGUCAUUAUUAUCAUAGAGAGCCAAGAGUGGCCAGUUCACUCAAAGUAUAUGGGUGGAAGUAAUUCUGGCAGGGCAAUGGCACGGGGCUAAGGACGUGGCUGCCAGAGGAGGCACAGAACAGCAGUGGUGCUUCAGUGAUGCCUGGGAAAAGGCAUACUGUAUGAUGAUUCCUAUAGAUACUCUGUAAAGCUGUACUUCUCUUUUUUCUUCUUACUUUUUGUAGUAAAUGAUUAGAGAAAUGCAGACUGAUCCUAUGUGAACACCUCAAGGGCAAGGAACUCUCAUAUUUAUCUAGCAUAGUGCCCUGGCAAGUGGGUAGCACUUAGUAAAUGUAUAUGGGUCUCUGAGUGGAUUGCUGGAAGGGAAGGAAGGAUGAAGGGGGAUGUUAUAAUAGAAAAAAUAGUCAUGUCUCCAGCUGGACACUGAUGGUCUUGGUUUCUUGGUCAAAAGCUGGUAAGCAUUUCUGUCAGAACUUGGUCAUUAAGAUUGAGGGGUUGGAGUAGAUAAUGAUAUUCCCAUUAGAAAUGAAUAAAGCAAUUUGGGAAAUGAAGAUAGCAGAAACCAAGAGCACUGCUGGAGAAAAGCAUGUGGGACUGGAAGAUAAUAGACUCUGUAGCUAAAAAGAAAGGAAACUUUUUGCAUAAAUAUGAUCCACUUAGGAACAGGUGUACUGAAAAAAAUACAAGGAGUAUGAGAAACAGGCAGGGGAAGGUCCUACUAUUUAUGUGUUUGAGGAAGAGGAAGCAUUGUCUAAAGAUGGCAAAUGUAGGAGGAAGAAAACCAUAAGAAUGUGGUCAGAGAUGAUGAGGAAGAUUAAAGGCUAAAAAAUCCAGACUCAUUUGUGUACACUCAAGUGAAAUUGUGUGAGCCAUGCUCUCCCCUUUUAUUUCUCUUUAGAGAGAGCUUUUUUUUUAAAAAAAGAUUAAGGCCACCUGGUGACAUCCUUCAUCUCUCUCCCCCCCCCCCACUGUGAAAUGAUUUGAUUUGCAGACUCAUGUUGUGAUUAGAGGAGACAGUCAGUAUUCUUAGGAUUUUGUAAUCUUAAUGUUUACCCAAUGCUGGACAUCAAAGAAGUGAUAUCCAAGGUCCAAUAUUUGGGGAGCACCUGGAGCCAUCUAGCAAUUUUUCCAGGGUCAUGAGUGGGUGUGAUACCAAGAGCCCUCAGUAAAAAAGACCAGUUUAGGAAUAAAACCCAGUGACAAAUCUCUGAAUCGGAGCAAAGAUCAUAUUUGCAGGCUUGCUCUGAUUUUCUUAAAAAAGAUAUAUAUCCCUGUUUAUUUUGGUGUGUUAAACUGAUGAAAGGUGUUUGAACUGAAAGGGGAUUAUAAACAAUUCUCUAAUGGGCAGGUGCUUAACCAAUAUCAGCCUUUGUCAGAGUUUGUUCCACUGAGCUGUGCAUGAGAUGCCACACCCAGGUUGUUCUGUUUUGUCACAAGCCUGAUCUCCCUUCUCACUGUGUAACCCCAGGAGCCCAGGG